rnacentral:misc_RNA from 1 species
GGUCUCUGUUCUGGCGCCGAACACACCGGCCAUGUACGAGAUGCACUUCGGCGUCCCGAUGAGCGGCGCUGUUCUCAACACCGUCAAUCUCCGCCUCGACGCCCGCACCGUCUCCGUGCUCCUCCACCACAGCGGCUCUAAGCUUGUCCUCGUCGAUCCGCAAUCGCAAUCCCUCCUUGACUCCGCCCUAGGUCAACUCCCCGCUGACCACCCCUCGCC